rnacentral:lncRNA from 1 species
AGCAAUUCCGACUCAUUGAUACUGAUCACUGGACAUUCUUUUGGAGGCUGUGUAGCUACCCUUUCACCUUAUGGCUGCUACAAAGCCUCGACUUGUCGAAAGUGAAACGCCCCCUUUGCAUCACUUUUGGUUCCCCCUUGAUCGGUGAUGGAAAUCUCCGACAAUGUGUGUUGCAAUUCUCAAAAUGGAGUUCUUGCUUCUUGAAUGUAGCCUCUAUCAACGAUCCUGUACCUAAAGUCUUCUUAACCGCUUCGCAAGCAAAUGACUAUAAGCCUUUCGGAACAUUCCUAUUGUGCUCCACUUCGGGUUGUUCUUGCUUUGAGGACCCUAUUGCCAUUUUGCAACUGUUGGUAGAAACCAGCUCUCAGAGUGCUCAAAUUCAAGGUCCGAAUUCGGGGAUUCAGUUUUUCGAUUAUGGACAGAUUUUGAGUGAUCUCAAGCUGAAGGCAUUUUCUAGAGAUGUCUUUGAGUUGGUUGAAGAGGAUAGAUUUCCACUUAAAGCUGGAAUUAAAACACAAUUAGCGGCAAUAUUUGGAGUUAAUAGCUCACAGGUAUCCAACUUUCCACACACAAUCAUUUGAUUGAUGAGAUUUAGAGAAAUGGUUUCUGCACAAACCUGUUAAUUUCUGUCUUUUGAUUCCCCUUAAAUUUAUUUAGUCCAAAUCCCAUGUUUUUUUCAUCCUAUAUAUAUUUUUAUUUCUACUAACUUUUCUCGCGACUCAUUUUGUAAAAGUCAUUGCAGCAGCAACGACCCGACAUAAAUUUCGGCAAUCUGAUACAAAAGAUGGAAACUCAAGAACGUCAGCACGCAAACCAGAAGAAGCAGGUUUACAGUUCUUUCGGGAAAUUGAAUGAGAUUAAAAAGUACAUGGCCUACAUGGAAUGGUACAAGGGGCAUUCCAAAACCAUGGGAAUUGGAUACUAUGACAGCUAUAAAAACAAGGGUAACACAUAUGACAAUGAUGCCGAAGGGUUGAAGAACAAGCUCUCUCGCUACUGGCAGGACACAGUUGAAGAAGUUGAGAGAAAGCCCCAGGAAGAAGAAGCCGCAAUGCGUACUGGCUUUCUAUUUGCUGGAACCAAUUGCAGAAGGAUGAUCGAACCGCUUCACAUUGCAGACCACUACAAGGGAGGUAAAAAAGAUUACAUAAAGGAAAGGCCUCGACAUUUCGUUCUGUUGGAGCGAUGGUUCAAUGAAGACGAGGAAAAGAAGAAGGCAGAGAGAGAGAAGAAAGAAAGGGAGAACCCCCAACUGCGCAGCGAAAGCAAGCCCAACUCAAAAGCAAAGAAUGUGGCUUCUAGUCUGAAUGAUGAUUCUUGUUUUUGGGCGCACGUCGAGGAAGCGCUUAUCUUGUGCAACAAACAAGCGAGUAAUCCAAAUAUCGAAUUUGAGCAGUACGUGCUGAAUAAUCUCGAGAAGUUUGCAGUAACGCCUGACAUUUUCUUGGCCCAAAGCAGCUACAUGCAAUGGUGGAACGAGUACAAAAAAAGGGUGGGAAAUGACUAUUCCUCACCACUCGCCAAGGUCAUGAAGCGUCACACUUAUACCAAGUAUGCGGAGGGGGUCUCGGUUCUUGCUGAUAUCUAAUGCAGGAUAAUUAAGUUUUAAGCAAGCAAUUAAAUUAAAUAAAGCAAGAUUAGUUAUGUUGUAUUCAGUGGCGGAGCCACGAUUUUAGGUGAGGAGGGGCCUCACAUAAAUGUGAAAAAAAUUAAAUAAUGCAUGCUUGGAGUUGUGAGCUAAUUAUUUUUGAGGCUCUAAAUGUUUUUUCUAUGUCGAAGUUAACCUUCCAUUCUCAAUUCAAUGAAAAUACUGGGGAUACUAUGUUUUUAGACCAUAUUUUAGAAACCACAUAAUGUGACCUCGUUGAUAAUUGGAUUCCUUUUUUGGUGAUUUAAAGAAGUAGUCCAACCAUUAAGUACGAUACAAUCAUGCGGUCACAAAAUAUGGCUCAAGUAGAAGCUAUCUAUAGCAUCACUCCAAGUCAAUAUAGAAUAGAUUGGGAAUUUCCUAACAAAAAAUGAGAAUUAUGGAUUGGGAAUUUGGUGAACAAAAUAUGAAAUUUUAAAAAUUUAGUAAAAAGUUAAAGAGAACAAAGAUAAAAUAUAUAAAUUUCAAGAAGCGGAGAAGAAGAAACUCAAAGUUUAUUAUUCUUCAGUUGGCAAUGUAAAAGAAUAUUUUUUUGAUAAAACUAAACUAGACUUUAGAUUUUAAUUUUAAGAGCUAUUGAUUUGUUUAUAAAAUAAGAUUGUAAAUUUAUUUUUAGGACGAGUUUUGUUGGGAUUGAAAAGAAAAAGAGACUUCUUAUUUUAACUAUUAGUGAAUAGCAAUUAAGAGUUUUGUGUAAACUAAAAGAAGUAUAAUAUUAAGUUUAUCCAAAUAUAAUACAUAAUUAUAUAGAAAAGUUAGUUGGGGGGUAGGCCUUGGCCUAUGGUGUGGCCUUAGAGUGCCUCCGCCCCUGGCUGUAUUGCUCCUGAUCUUCAUAAAGAAAGGUGUGCAGUACUUGCCGGACUUUUUGGCGCUACAACUUUUGAAUAUUUUUGUUUGUGGUUUCGUUUUGUUUUGGGCUCUAGCAUCUAGAUCUCUUUGUUCAAAGUAUAAGAAUGUGUGGGGGUAUUGUUUCAAUUAUGAUGUUGUAAUUUCCACUUCAUAAAGCAAUGACACUCGUUGCAUUUCGAUUUCACUAAGUAUGAGGCUUAUCCUAAUUUCAGUCUUUCAGCACAUUGCUACUAGUGAAGUUUAAAUAUUUGGUAACUGCUUAUGAUUCUUUCUUUUAUCAAUUUUUAUGUGUUAAUGUAGAUGCUUCUAAUGAGUUGAUAUUCUACUGUUUAUUUUACCUUAUUCUUAGCUAUAAUUUAUUGAUUAUUUUGGUUGAAUUUUGAUACUUUGUUCUAUAUUUCAAUUACAGGACAUGUGAAUCUACUUUGGGCAUAAAGUGAUCAAACGAAGGAAUUUUGGAGUAAUUUCAAUUGGAAUAGAUUCGUGAGUCUUUCAAGAUGAUUGUGUCAAAAUUCUAGAAUUUAAUUCCAAGCCGUUUGACCGUGGCAAAGAAAAGAAGACUCAGCGUGCAACUUUCCCAAUUGUUUUAUGGUUAUUCGUAACUAAUUUCCGUUUACUAGAACAAGAUUACUAGCCUUAGCAUGAAUAUGUUGUAAUGACCCGUCUCAGAUUGUAUGAAACACAGAUCGUCGAGAACAAUUUUGUAAUUUCACGUUUGGAAGAUAUUUGUAUUCUUGAGUUUAGUGGACCUUAUUUUGUGAGUCACGAGGCCCACAUGUUUCCCUUGUCUCCCGGCUGCCUCUCUUCCCUCUCCCCGUCACUCUCUUUCCCUCCCUUCACUCUCUCUAAAACUCUCUUCUCUCAUCUGUCUCUCUAACCUUCCUUCUCCGGGAAAGCACACAAACACAACAACAACAGCAGCAGCUGCACAACACCAUCCCUCACCCUCUAUGCGAACCUCACGAACCCAAAAACGGUGAGCGGACUUUUCCCCAGUUUUCCGGCGAGACGCAUUUUUUGGCCAUAUCCGGCCAGCUUUUGGCUUCUAAAUAGGUAAAAUCGUAUUUCUCUCCUCUUAAGCUUCGUUUUGACAUAUUAUGGGUCCGAUUUGACUAAGAAAUGAGGAAGUUAUAACCUUUUAAAGUUUACCUAGUUUCCGGCGACCCCCACGGCUUUCAAGUCAUUUUCCGGCUAAACCACGGCUAUUUAGCCGUGGAGAAAGGUACCAUUCUCUUCAUUUCGUCAAUAAGUAUGAUUUUCAUCUAUGAAUCACUUGAUUUCGUCGAGUAUUGAAGAAGUUAUGGACGUUUAAAGUUUACUCAGUUUCCGGCGUGUUCCCCCGUUUUUCUGCGGACCAGUCAGUUUUCAGGCUAUUUUCCGGCCAUCUCCGGCAACCUUUGAACUUCCAAAUAGGUAUAUUCUUGUUCUACACUUUCCUAGUUUCGUUUUGAUAUAUUAUGAGUUCGUCGCGAAACAUUUAAGAUGACGGAAUUAGGUCGGGCAACAGAGCCUGACCCGAUGAACAUGACGACGAAAGUCCGUCAGGUAAGGCUGCGUUGACCAUAUUGUAUUGCUACUAGGUGAAUUCGGACAAAAAAACAGAAAGCUCAACGGCCAUUCCCUAGCUCAGAUUAACUCGUUAGAUUUCUUUGUAAAUUUCUUUGUAUUCUUCCACGAAUGUUUAGUUGCUAAAAUCAAAUCAUGUAUUAAAUUACUCUGGAAUUUUCGUAACGUAAGAACAAGCUGGAAGCAACAUGGAAUAAAUAAUUAUUCUGAACUUUAACACGUAAACGUAGAUAAGAAGGCCAGAGGAAAAGCAUCGGGGCAAAGGUCCAACUCCCUCUCCUCCGGGAACCUUCCAGGAACAAGAUCCGUAGACGACGACGUAGACUUUCCUGUGCAUUGUCGACUUGGCGGGAAAUUCCCUCGUGGAACUUGGUGGAACAAUGACGUCCAUAACAAUAGUAAUGAUAGGACUUUCCUCUUCUAUAUAAAGAAAGACACUGAGCAUUCUGGUUUCCAAAUCUCUCAAUCUACUGUGUUUUUAAGCAGAUCGCCAGAAGCUUGAAGAUGAACAACCAGUAAGUUAACUUCAAACUCCUCCGAUCCUUGUUCUUCUUUGAAUCCUUUGUCAUUGAUUUUCCUUAUGGUUUGUUAGGCCUAAGUAUGAUUAUGCUCAAUAUAGUUUGGCAAAUUUCCACUUCAUCCAUGUGUGUCGAUUGUCGUGAUUAAGCAGACAUGUCUAGGACGGCUUCUGGAAUGGCUACAAGUAUUUUGCAUGAAACUUCUUAGGGUUAAUUUUGGGGAAAAAAUUUACCGAGUAGGAUUAUCUCCCCUCCUGUUCUCGUCCAUUCCUCUCACACAUUGCUUUUUGUUUUAUUGUCUUUAUAAAAAAAAAUUAAUAUAAGAUGUUAACGUGGUUUAACCGUGACCGUUGAAAUAGAAGGGAAGAGAAGGGAAGGAGAUGAGGAUCAGGAGGGGGGAGCCUCCAAAACCUACAAAGCGCGUCUAGAUAGUAGAAGCUUUUUUUAAGAAGAAUUAAAAAUUGGGUCCUUCGCUUUUUUUAAGGAUUGGGUCCUUCGCAUUUACCCAACACCAAAUUUUGUUCCCUCAACAAAAAAAAAAAUUGAGAAGAAUUAAAAAUUUUCUCACAAAGUUAAAAUAAAAUAAUGUUUUACCAAUAAAAUAAAAUAAAUAAAUACGAAUUAGCAUAUAAAGUACAUUACUUGAAUUGGAGCAUUUUAGUCAUCACAUCGAUUUUCAUUCUGAUUCAUGUGAGUUAGUAAACAGUUUAUAUUGUUCAGUACUAUUCUUACUCUUAUUUUUUAAAAUUUUAGUAAACAGUUUCAAUAUGAAUCUAAUUCUAACAUAUUCCAAACUCUUCAAUUCAAUUUUUUCUUCUUUUGAAUAUGGAAUAGUAAACGACCCAUUAAAUUUUUAUCCCAAAUAUAAUCAAAAGUAGUUUUGAUUGUUCCACUGACAUUUUUAACUAUUUCAACAGCUUUCCCUCUGUUUAACUUUGCUUCAAUUUUUUGUUGGUGGACAGAAUUAGCAGUGCGGGGCUUGAACUAGCAAAUGUGCUGGUGACUUCUCCUCCCCUGCACCAGUCAUGGGACGCGGUUCAAAAGCAAAAGCUCCAGACAGCUGCUGAUCCGAAUGCACAAAUGACCUUAUACAUUAGUGAAACCAAGCACUCAAACACCACCAUCAUAUCUUUUCUUACUGCACCAGUAGAGGUUCAAGAUCCACAAGCGAUGAUUUCAUCGACGACUCUCAAGGACACAAAUUUUCUUCUCUUUGAGUUUUUGUGCAGCCAAAAAACACCAAGUUACUUCGUCAAUGAAUUGGCAAUCAAAUUCUUCGCCUUGAGUCACACCAACCUCGAUCUUUUGCGAACAAAGGUGUGUAAUGUUAUCUCUGAUAAUAUUUAAAAAAAAAGUUUCUUCGCAUACGAGAAAUCCUUAUAUAAGAACUUGUUCAUUCAUUGCCUACUUAAAAAUAGACAUAGAGACGGAAGAAAGGACGAAUCAAAUAGUUUAUUUUUUUUUUCCCAAUUUUUGUCUAUUCUUCACCUACUGAAUCAAACUUUUUCAUUGCUUUGACGACUAUUAAUUUUAGUGAGAAAUGGUUAGAAAUGAUAUUUAUAAUGUUAGAUUACUUUAUACUUAAUUAGUUUGGCUUCUUUGACAACUCUUAAUAUUAAUAAGAAACACUUACAAACACCUCAUUGUUAGAGUUAUAAGAGCCGAAUGUCAUAAAAUUGAUUCUAUUUUGUUUUGUUGUUGUUCAAAAUGGAGUUGAAUGUUUUUUUUUUUUUACCACGAAUGUAUUUCGAGGAACUUAUUUGUAAAGACGUCUCCGAAUUAAUUAUAUAGCAGUUCAGUAAUUGACCAACUUAAUGUAAUAUUUCAGCUGGUAGAAAGCAGCAAUUCCAACUCAUCGAUACUUAUCACUGGACAUUCUUUUGGAGGCUGUGUGGCUACCCUUUUCACCUUAUGGCUGCUACAAAGCCUCAACUUGUCGAAAGCGAAGCGUCCCCUUUGCAUCACUUUCGGUUCACCCUUGACCGGUGACGAACAACUCCGACAAUGUGUGUUGCAAUUCUCAACAUGGAGUUCUUGCUUCUUGAAUGUAGCCUCUAUCAACGAUCCUGUACCUAAAGCCUUCCUAACCGCUUCGCAAGCGAGUGAUUACAAGCCUUUCGGAACAUUCCUAUUGUGCUCCGCUUCGGGUGGUUCUUGCUUUGAGGACCCAGAUGCCAUUUUGCAACUGUUGGUGGAAACCGGCUCUCAGAGUGCUCAAAUUCAAGGUCCGAAUUUGGGGUUUCAGUAUUUCGAUUACGGACAGAUUUUGAGUGAUCUCAAGCUGAAGGCAUUUUCUAGAGAUGUCUUUGAGUUGGUUGAAGAGGAUAGAGUUCCACUUAAAGCUGGAAUUAAAACACAAUUGGCAGCAAUAUUUGGAGUUAAUAGCUCACAGGUAUCCAACUUUCCACACAAAUAUUUGAUUUGAUGAUGAUUCAGAGAAUGGUUUCUGCACAAACCUGUUUAUUUUUGUCUCUUGAUUUUCUUUUACUUUAUUUAAUCCGAAGAUUGGAAAUAAACACAGGUGUGCGGGGGGCAAUCACAUCCCUUGUUUUUACUUCUACUAACUUUUUUCGCAAAUCAUUUUGUAAGUCAUUGCAGCAGCAGCAACCCGACAUAAAUUUCGGCAAUCUGAUGCAAAAGAUGGAAACUCAAGAACGUAACCACGCAAUCCAGAAGACGCAGGUUUACAGUUCUUUCUGGAAAUUGAAUGAGAUUAAAAAGUACAUGGCCUACAUGGAAGGGUACAAGAAGGAGUCCAAAGAGAUGGGAAUUGGAUACUAUGACAGGUACAGAAACAAGCGUUGCUUGGGUGACAUUAAUGCCGAAGAGUACAAGAAGAAGCUCUCUAAUUACUGGGAGGACACGGUUGCAGAAGUUGAGAGCAAUCCCCAGAAAGAAGGAGCCGCAAUGCGUACUCGUUUCCUAUUUGGUGGAACGAAUUACAGAAGGAUGAUCGAACCGCUUCACAUUGCAGAGUACUACAAGGAAGGUGGAAAAGAUUACAUAAAGGAAAGGCCUCGACAUUUCGUUCUGUUGGAGCAAUGGUUCAAUGAAGACGCGGAAAAGAAGAAGCCAGAGAGGGAGCAGAAAGAAAAGGAGAACCCCCAACUGCGUGGCGAAAGCAAGUCGAACUCAAAAGCGAAGAAUGUGGCUUCAAGUCUGAAUGAUGAUUCUUGUUUUUGGGUGCAUGUCGAGGAAGCGCAUAUCUUAUGCAAUGAACAAGCGAGUAAUCCAAAUGCCAAGCAAAUGCUGAUGGAAUUUGAGCAGUACGUGCUGAAUAAUCUCGAGAAGUUUGCAGUGACGCCUGAUAUUUUCUUGGCCCAAAGCAGCUACAUGCAAUGGUGGAACGAGUACGAAAAAAGGGUGGGACAUGACUAUUCCUCACCACUCGCCAAGGUCAUGAAGCGUCACACUUACACCAAAUAUGCGGAGGGGGUCUCGGUUCUUGCUGAUAUAUAAUGCAAGAUAAUUAAAUUUUAAGCAAGCAAUUAAUUAAAUAAAGCAAGAUUAGUUAUGCUGUAUUGCUCAUGAUCUUCAUAUGGAAAAGUGUGCAGUACUUGCCAGACUUGUUGGCGCUACUACUUUUGAAUAUUUUUGUUUGUGGUUUCGUUUUGUUUUUUGGGCUCUAGCAUCUAUCUCUCUUUGUUUAAAGUAUAAGAAUGUGUGGGGGUAUUGUUUCAAUUAUGAUGUUGUAAUUUCCACUUCAUAAAUUAAUGAAACUCAUUGCAUUUCGAUUUCACUUAGUGUGAGGCCUACUCUAUUUUCAGUCUUUCAGCACAUUGCUAUUAGUGAUUUUUAAAUAUUACUCUAUUUUCAAUCUUUCAGCACAUUGCUAUUAGUGAUUUUUAAAUAUUUGGUAUCUGCUUAUGAUUUUUUCUUUUAUCAAUUUGUAUGUGUUAAUGUAGAUGUUUUUGCUGAGUCGAUUUUAAACUAUUAUUUUAUCUUAUUUUUAGUUAUAAUUUAUUGAUUAUUUUAGUUGAAUAUUGAUACUUUAUUCUAUAUUUUAAUUAUAUAAUAUGUGAAUCUAUUUUGGACAUAAAACGAUUAAACGAAUGAAUUUUAGAAUAAUUCUAAAUCAUGAAAUUUGGAAUAAUUCUAAAUCAAGUAGAUUCUUGAGUCUUUCCUGUUCGGGAGAUAUUUGUGUUUUUGUCUUUAGUGAACCUUGUGUUGUGAGCCACUAGGGGCACAUGUUUCCCUUGUCUCCCGGUUCUCUCUCUUUUCCCUCUCCCCGUCACUCUCUUUCCCUCCCUUCACUCUCUCCUCUCAAUUCUCUCAUCUUUCUCUCUAACCUCCCCUCUCCGGGAAAGCACACAAACACAACAACAACAGCAGCAACUGCACACAACCAUCCCUCACCCUCUAUGUGAACCCCACGAACCCAAAAAUGGCGAGGAGAUUCUUCCCCAGUUUUCCAGCGAGACCCGUGAGUUUGCAGGCAUUUUCCGGCUAUCUCCGGCGCAGAGAGAGUGAGCAACAUAAAUUUAAAGGACAAUGAUUGUCUGCCCUUCACUUUCGAUGCCUUCCUGUUUUGUAUGAUCACAGUUAGCACGUUAUUAUUUUAUAUUAUUUUUUUUAUAGAUAUAAUAAAACAAAAAUAAAUAAUAAUAUAAAAUAUUAACGUUGUUUAACCGUGAUCACACAAUCAGAAGACACUAGAGGACACCGAAAGUGAAGAGCAGACAAUCGUUCAAAUUUAAAUGAAUGGUUUCGACUUCCCAAGGGGUCAAAGGUGGUAAGUCCGGGCUCCACCUUGGAUUAUGUGAGAAACAUGGAAUGGAGAGUGUUACAGAGUAAUGAAUGGUUUCCACUUUCCAAGGGGUCAAGGGUAGUAUCUGGACUCGACCUUGGAUAAUGUGAGAAACAUGGGGUGUAGUGUUACAUAGAGUAAUUGAUUCGUUUUAAUUUUUUAUGAAGCCAACCACACAUCAGGAUGUUUAUUUUUUAUUUACUUAUCUGUAUUACUAUAUUACUAUAUUAUUAUAUUUCUUUAUUUUUCUCAUAUUUUGUAUUUUAUGUAAUUUUAAAUUAUGAACUUGUUAUACAUGUAUUGUUCUUCAAUACUCCUUAUUAUCGUUAUAUGAUAUAUAUGUUUAAUGUGUUUUUAAACUUUGGAUUUGUUGAAUACUCUUUUUAUAUUUUAUCAUUCUUUUAUUAUCUUAUUUGUAGAUUUCAUUCGAGUAUAAUUUUUUGUAAGUAUCAAUAUGUACUUAUUUACAAAAUAUACAAGAAAUUUAUCUAAAUCCGCCUAAACUGCCUAGACGCCUUCCUAGAUCCCGCUUAGAUGCCUAGGCGCUAAUCAUCAGCCUGUUUUCCGACUAACGCCUAACGUUUUUUGACCUUUAAAAAAACAGAAAGCUCAACCGCCAUUCCCUAUCCCUCAGAUUAACUCGUUAGAUUUCUUUGUAAAUUUCUUUGUACACUUCCGCGAAUGUGUAGUUGCUAAAUUCAAAUCAUGUAUUAAAUUACUCCGGAAUAUUCGUAACGCAAGCUGGAAGCAACAUGGAAUAAAUAAUUAUCUGAACUUUAACACGUAAACGUAGACAAGAGGAACAGAGGCAAAGUAUCGGGGCAAACGUCCAGCCCUCCCUUCUAGGAACAAGGUCAGUUGACAACGACAUAGACCUUCCCGUGCAUUGUCGACUUGGUGGGAACUUUCCUCGUGGGGCCCUUUGGUUGGUCGGGACAAUGAAGUCCAUAAGAAUAAGGACAAUACUUAGGUCCUGACUGCUCAGGAUCAAGUAUACGGACCUCACAACGUGGUACACUAUAAAGAUGACACCUGUCUUUUUGCUUAUCCAAACACCAAACAUGGCUUUCUUUGUUCUAUAUAUGCAAACAUAAACUAUUCUAUUAACCAAACACCAUCCUUCUCUCUCGUUGAAGAAUCCCCAACCUUUAAGAGACAAACCAGCAAGAACCUCCCUCGACCCACCUCGUUCCUCCGCCGCAAACCUACCCCGUGUCCUCUCCACCGUCGAUUCACCCCGUGUCCUCAUCCAACUUCUCUCCUCCGUCAACCGACCGCCGUUCCUCUGUCAACUUCACCGGUAUUCCUCCGUCGGCCCCGCUUCCGCUUCCGCCUCCGCCUCCUCCUUCAACCUCUCUCCUCCAUCGAAGUAGGUCCAUAAGAAUUCAUGUAAGGGAGGGGAUCUUUGUUCUUCGUGUAUAGUGUGACGUCGCUGCACUGAUACAAAUCUGUGAUGGCAUAGGAAAAGACAAGGACGAUGCGGGAUAAGCCCGGGAGCAAAGAGGAAGUGAAAAGGGAUUAUGGGGUGUUUGGAUGCCUAGGUAAUUGGAUAAACAGGGUGUUUGGCUGCAUAGCUUAAACAUAUAAAGUAGUACACGUGUUCUCUUUUAAUUGAGGCAUAUCAAUGGUCAGUGAAAAUUGUCCACUUGUGAGUAUCAAGUAUUAUCUUAAGAGUAACAAUAGCUUUAGAACUGUUUCCUCUUCUCUAUAAAGGACACACCAUUCUGUCUUCCAAAUCUCUCAAUCUACUGUGUUUUUAAGCAGAUCGCCACCAAAAGCUUGAAGAUGAACAACCAGUAAGUUAAUUUCAAACUCUUCCGAUCCUUGUUUUUCUUUGAAUCCUUUGUCAUUGAUUUUUCUUAUGGUUUAUUAGGAUAAUACUUGGCUACUGAAAGAUAAAUAGGAACUCUUAUUUAAAACUCUUAGGGUUUUAAACACAGGAUUUUGUAGUUAUGAUCAUAACCGUUCAUACUAUGAUUCACAUUGUCAAGAUCAUCUCUGUAAAAAAAUAAUUGAUUUUUGUCAGAAGCGAUUUGUAUAGGAUGAUUUAUAAACGGUUUGAUGACUAAACGUCCUUCGGUUUAAUUGAUUUUUGUCAGAAGCGAUUUGUAUAGGAUGAUUUAUAAUAUCAACGUUUCUGAUUAUAAACACGAACUUCUAUAAAUUGAUAACGAAUAAUUUUGAGAAAUUUUACUCAUCUCGUUUAUUAGACCUAAGUAUGAUUCUGCUCAAUUUAGUUUGGCAAAUAUCCACUUCAUCCAUGUGUGUUGAUUGUCGUGAUUAAGCGGAUCAUGUCUAGGACGGCUUCUGGAAUCGCUAUAAGUGUUUUGCAUGAAACUUCUUGGGGUUAAAUUUGGGGGAAAAAACUUACAAAGCGCGUCUAGAUAGUAGAAGCUAUUUUUAAGAAGCAUAUGUGCUAUGUGUAGCUUUAAGAAGAGUUUCCAAGUGCUUUAUUGAGAAACUCUUUGAAUAAAGUAAAAGAAAAAUGCUUAUGAGUAAAGUAAAAGAUAAGUGCUUAUGAGUAAAGUAUCUCGAGGCAAUAUUUAAUAAGUGUUCAUAUGCUUUAACAAAGUGGAAUUCAUUCCUACUAGUCUUCUGCUAAACUGACCUUAGGAUGAUUUAUAAUAUCAACGAUUCUGAUUAUAAACACGAACUUCUAUAAAUUGAUAACGAAUAAUUUUGAGAAAUUUUGAGUAUGGGUUUCUACUCAUCUCGAUUAUUAGACCUAAGUAUGAUUCUGCUCAAUUUAGUUUGGCAAAUAUCCACUUCAUCCAUGUGUGUUGAUUGUCGUGAUUAAGCGGAUGAUGUCUAGGACGGCUUCUAGAACCGCUAUAAGUGUUUUGCAUGAAACUUCUUGGGAUUAAAUUUGGAGGAAAAAACUUACAAAGCGCGUCUAGAUAGUAGAAGCUAUUUUUAAGAAGCAUAUGUGCUAUGUGUAGCUUUAAGAAGAGUUUCCAAGUUUCCAAGUUUCCAAGUGCUUUAUUGAGAAACUCUUUGAAUAAGUAAAAGAAAAAUGCUUAUGAGUAAAGUAAAAGAUAAGUGCUUAUGAGUAAAGUAUCUCGAGGCAAUAUUUAGUAAGUGUUCAUAUGCUUUAACAAAGUGGAAUUCAUUCUUACAAGUCUUCUGCUAAACUGACCUUAUUAGAAGCACAAUGAAAUUUUAUUGAAAAUGCUUUUAUGAUUCGUACAUACUUUUAUGAUACGUUUACGCAUGGGUAAUCGAAAUGGAAAAGUGGAAUUGAAUACGUGAAACAGUUUUAACAUGAAUCUGAUUCUACCAUAUUCCAACUCUUCAAUUCAAUUUCUUUUAUUUUGAAUACGGAAUAGUAAACAGCCUAUUAAAUUUUUCUGCCAAAUAUAAUCAAAAGUACUUUUGAUUGUUCUAAUGACAUUUUUAACUAUUUCAAAAGCAUUCCCUCCAUUUAACUUUGCUUCAAUUUUUUGUUGGUGAUGGACAGAAUUAGCAGUGCGGGGCUUGAACUAGCAAAUUUGCUGGUGACUUCUCCUCCCCUGCACCAGUCAUGGGACGCGGUUCAGAAGCAAAAGCUCCAGACAGCUGCUGAUCCGAAUGCACAAAUGGCCUUAUACAUUAGUGAAACCAAGCACUCAAACACCACCAUCAUAUCUUUUCUUACUUCACCAGUCAAGGUUCAAGAUCCACAAGCGAUGAUUUCAUCGAAGACUCUCAAGGACACAAAUUUUCUUCUCUUUGAGUUUUUGUGCAGCAAAAAAACCCCAAGUUUCUCCGUCAAUGAAUUGACAAUCAACUUCUUCGCGUUGAAUCACAUCAACCUCGACCUUCUGCGAACAAAGGUAUGUACUGUUAUCUCAAAUAAUUUUUUCCAAUUUUUGUCUAUUCUUCUCCUACUGAAUCAAACUUUUUCAUCGCUUUGACGACUAUUAAUUUUAGUGAGAAACGGUUCGAAAUGAUAUUUAUAAUGAUAGAUUACUUUCUACUUAAUUAGUUUGGCUUCUUUGACAACUCUUAAUAUUAGUGAGAAACACUUACAAACACCUCAUUAUUAGUGUUAUAAGAGCCGAAUGACGUAAAAUCGAUUCUAUUUUGUUUUGUUGUUGUUCAAAAUGGUGUUGAAUGUUAUUUUUUUUACCACGAAGGAACUUAUUUGUAAAAGACGUCUCCGAAUUAAUUAUAUAGCUAGCAGUUCAGUAAUUGACUAACUUCAUGCAAUAUUUCAGCUGGUAGAAAGCAGCAAUUCCAACUCAUCGAUACUUAUCACUGGACAUUCUUUUGGAGGCUGUGUAGCUACCCUUUUCACCUUAUGGCUGCUACAAAGCCUCAACUUGUCGAAAGCGAAGCGUCCCCUUUGCAUCACUUUUGGUUCACCCUUGACCGGUGACGAACAACUCCAACAAUGUGUGUUGCAAUUCUCAACUUGGAGUUCUUGCUUCUUGAAUGUAGCCUCUAUCAACGAUCCUGUACCUAAAGCCUUCCUAACAGCUUCGCAAGCAAGCAAUUACAAGCCUUUUGGAACAUUCCUAUUGUGCUCCGCUUCGGGUGGUUCUUGCUUUGAUGACCCUGAUGCCAUUUUGCAACUGUUGGUGGACACCGGCUCUCAGAGUGCUCAAAUUC